rnacentral:rRNA from 1 species
UGAGGAAUAUUGGUCAAUGGGCGAGAGCCUGAACCAGCCAAGUAGCGUGCGGGACGACGGCCCUAUGGGUUGUAAACCGCUUUUGAUUGGGAACAAAGAGCGCCACGUGUGGUGCGUUGCGUGUACCUUUCGAAUAAGCAUCGGCUAAUUCCGUGCCAGCAGCCGCGGUAAUACGGAGGAUGCGGGCGUUAUCCGGAUUUAUUGGGUUUAAAGGGUGCGCAGGCGGCUCGUCAAGUCAGCGGUGAAAGCCCGGGGCGUCAACCCCGGUAAGCCGUUGAAACUGGCAAGCUGGAGUUCGGGCGAGGCAGGCGGAAUGCGCGGUGUAGCGGUGAAAUGCAUAGAUAUUGCGCAGAACUCCGAUUGCGAAGGCAGCUUGCCAGCCCUGGACUGACGCUGAGGCAC